AGGAACGAGAGUCCAGCCAAGUCCCCCCGGUCUCUCCCGGGUUGGCCUGAGCCACCUGCUAUCCCUGGCAGACCAGGCCCUGGGGAGCUGCCUCUGUCGCUCACCGGAAGCGUUGGUCCCACAGCCGGGUCCCGGCCAGGCUGGUACCUGAACCCACCUGCCGUUCCACCUGGCGGUGGCCGCGAUUGUCACGUCACUUCCGGCAAGACGCGGAAGUCCCGGCUUUCCCCCCACUGGAUAUUUGCUCCAAUCCCUGCAGACAAUCCUUCCCUUCCCGGCUCCCGGGACGCUCGGAACCAAGAACGAGAACAAGUAUUGGCGGAAGCUCGCUGUUAGUAGGAACAAGCGAAAACAGAGGAACGGUCUGGACAGGCUGACAGCGUCUAACCCCGCCCUUUGCCCUGCCGCCGCCGC
ensembl:lncRNA novel transcript